rnacentral:rRNA from 1 species
UACGUAGGGUGCGAGCGUUAAUCGGAAUUACUGGGCGUAAAGCGUGCGCAGGCGGUUCGUUAAGUCUGAUGUGAAAGCCCCGGGCUCAACCUGGGAAUGGCAUUGGAAACUGGCGGGCAGGAGUGUGGCAGAGGGGGGUGGAAUUCCGCGUGUAGCAGUGAAAUGCGUAGAGAUGUGGAGGAACACCGAUGGCGAAGGCAGCCCCCUGGGCUGACACUGACGCUCAGGCACGAAAGCGUGGGGAGCAAACAGG